GCGCGGGUGGCGGAAUAGGUAGACGCGCUAGCUUGAGGUGCUAGUUCCUCAUUUAAACGGGAGUGGGGGUUCAAGUCCCCCUCCGCGCA
rnacentral:tRNA from 1 species